rnacentral:rRNA from 1 species
UCAAGCGAACAAGUGCAUGUGGUGGAUGCCUUGGCGAUCACAGGCGAUGAAGGACGCGGUAGCCUGCGAAAAGCGGUGGGGAGCUGGCAAACGAGCUUUGAUCCACCGAUAUCCGAAUGGGGAAACCCGGCCCGUAUGGGUCAUCCAUGGCUGAAUACAUAGGCCAUGUGAAGCGAACGCGGUGAACUGAAACAUCUAAGUAACCGCAGGAACAGAAAUCAACCGAGAUUCCCAAAGUAGUGGCGAGCGAAAUGGGACCAGCCUGUACUCUUUAUCUUCGUUGUUAGCCAAACGCUCUGGAAAGUGCGGCCAUAGUGGGUGAUAGCCCCGUAGGCGAAAACAGUGAGGAAGAACUAGGUGUACGACAAGUAGGGCGGGACACGUGAAAUCCUGUCUGAAGAUGGGGGACCAUCCUCCAAGGCUAAAUACUCGUGAUCGACCGAUAGUGAACCAGUACCGUGAGGGAAAGGCGAAAAGAACCCCGGGAGGGGAGUGAAACAGAUCCUGAAACCGCAUGCAUACAAACAGUCGGAGCCUCGCAAGGGGUGACGGCGUACCUUUUGUAUAAUGGGUCAGCGACUUACAUUCAGUGGCGAGCUUAACCGAUUAGGGCAGGCGUAGCGAAAGCGAGUCCGAACAGGGCGAUUCAGUCGCUGGGUGUAGACCCGAAACCAGGUGAUCUAUCCAUGGCCAGGAUGAAGGUGCGGUAACACGUACUGGAGGUCCGAACCCACUAACGUUGAAAAGUUAGGGGAUGAGCUGUGGAUAGGGGUGAAAGGCUAAACAAACCUGGAAAUAGCUGGUUCUCUCCGAAAACUAUUUAGGUAGUGCCUCGUGUAUCACCUUCGGGGGUAGAGCACUGUCAUGGUUGAAGGGUCCAUUGCGGAUUACUUCGCCAUAGCAAACUCCGAAUACCGAAGAGUGCAAUCACGGGAGACAGACAUCGGGUGCUAACGUCCGGUGUCAAGAGGGAAACAACCCAGACCGCCAGCUAAGGUCCCCAAAUAUGACUAAGUGGGAAACGAAGUGGGAAGGCUAAAACAGUCAGGAGGUUGGCUUAGAAGCAGCCACCCUUUAAAGAAAGCGUAAUAGCUCACUGAUCGAGUCGUCCUGCGCGGAAGAUGUAACGGGGCUAAGUCAUAUACCGAAGCUGCGGAUGCGUGCUUGCACGCAUGGUAGGAGAGCGUUCCGUAAGCCUGCGAAGGUGCGUUGAAAAGCGUGCUGGAGGUAUCGGAAGUGCGAAUGCUGACAUGAGUAGCGAUAAAGGGGGUGAAAGGCCCCCUCGCCGUAAGCCCAAGGUUUCCUACGCAACGUUCAUCGGCGUAGGGUGAGUCGGCCCCUAAGGCGAGGCAGAAAUGCGUAGCUGAUGGGAAGCAGGUCAAUAUUCCUGCACCAGUGUGAAAUGCGAUGGGGGGACGGAUCGCGGAAGGUUGUCCGGGUGUUGGAAGUCCCGGUCGCUGCGUUGGAGAAGGUGCUCUGGCAAAUCCGGGCACGGAAUUCAAGGGCGUGGCGCGAGCUCUCUAGGGGGCGAAGCAAUCGGAAGGGGUUCCAGGAAAAGCCUCUAAGCUUCAGUUUCACAUUGACCGUACCGCAAACCGACACAGGUGGGCGAGAUGAGUAUUCUAAGGCGCUUGAGAGAACUCGGGAGAAGGAACUCGGCAAAUUGGUACCGUAACUUCGGGAUAAGGUACGCCCCUGUAGCUUGAGCCCCUGCGGGGUGAGGGUGAAGGGGUUGCAAUAAACUGGUGGCUGCGACUGUUUAAUAAAAACACAGCACUCUGCAAACACGAAAGUGGACGUAUAGGGUGUGACGCCUGCCCGGUGCCGGAAGAUUAAAUGAUGGGGUGCAAGCUCUUGAUUGAAGUCCCGGUAAACGGCGGCCGUAACUAUAACGGUCCUAAGGUAGCGAAAUUCCUUGUCGGGUAAGUUCCGACCUGCACGAAUGGCGUAACGAUGGCCACACUGUCUCCUCCCGAGACUCAGCGAAGUUGAAGUGUUUGUGAUGAUGCAAUCUCCCCGCGGCUAGACGGAAAGACCCCAUGAACCUUUACUGUAGCUUUGCAUUGGACUUUGAACCGAUCUGUGUAGGAUAGGUGGGAGGCUAUGAAGCGUGAACGCCAGUUUGCGUGGAGCCGUCCUUGAAAUACCACCCUGGUUUGUUUGAGGUUCUAACCUUGGCCCGUGAUCCGGGUCGGGGACAGUGCAUGGUGGGCAGUUUGACUGGGGCGGUCUCCUCCCAAAGUGUAACGGAGGAGUACGAAGGUACGCUAGGUACGGUCGGAAAUCGUGCUGAUAGUGCAAUGGCAUAAGCGUGCUUAACUGCGAGACCGACAAGUCGAGCAGGUGCGAAAGCAGGUCAUAGUGAUCCGGUGGUUCUGUAUGGAAGGGCCAUCGCUCAACGGAUAAAAGGUACUCUGGGGAUAACAGGCUGAUACCGCCCAAGAGUUCAUAUCGACGGCGGUGUUUGGCACCUCGAUGUCGGCUCAUCUCAUCCUGGGGCUGUAGCCGGUCCCAAGGGUAUGGCUGUUCGCCAUUUAAAGAGGUACGUGAGCUGGGUUUAAAACGUCGUGAGACAGUUUGGUCCCUAUCUGCCGUGGGCGCUGGAUAUUUGAAGGGGCUGCUCCUAGUACGAGAGGACCGGAGUGGACGAACCUCUGGUGUACCGGUUGUCACGCCAGUGGCAUCGCCGGGUAGCUAUGUUCGGAAGAGAUAACCGCUGAAAGCAUCUAAGCGGGAAACUCGCCUUGAGAUGAGAUAUCCCCGGGGCUUCGAGCCCCUUGAAGGGUCGUUCAAGACCAGGACGUUGAUAGGUCAGGUGUGGAAGCGCAGUAAUGCGUUAAGCUAACUGAUACUAAUUGCCCGUAAGGCUUGAUCC